AUUAUUGCCCAAUUCUUAGAGUAAGUCCUAUAGUAUCGUCCUAUGAUUAUUAUCGUCAUUUCUAAUGUGUGUAACCUAUAGUUAAGAGAAAGUCGGCGGCGGCGCACGGAGCGCACGCGUCGCGUGUCUCGACUGCAAUCAAGUCAUCGAGUGUCACAGAGGGCUCGAAGCCACAGACGCUACAACAUGCUUUAAAUGACACGACACCGACACGACCGGCGCCGCGCCGCGCUCGUGCGCCGACACGCGGCGGGCGCGAGCUGUCCGGGCGAGGCUGGCCUCGGUCGUGUUUCACUGGUCUGCCAGAGAAUGAAAAACAGGUGGAACACUCUAAAUACGCAAUACCGAGCCGCCCGCCGGCGCCCCCGCCCCCGCGCCGCCGCACAGUCCCGAGUGCUCCGUCCGCACUGAUAACCUGCAUACUUUAACGUCGAUUCGUGCGUAUUCGCUUUUAUCCUCGUCUAUGUAUUGUCCCGCGUUCUAUUUCGCUAAUGUAGGUAUUUUAAAUGUCGUCUUUUAUAAUUGUUCUAAAUCGAAUGUACAAAAUUGUAACGAUUGUAGGCUAAGUGUCUACGAAAUACGAAAUCGAUAGAGUCUAGUGCCGCCGGUCGUCGCGGCGGGCCAUCGUGUCGUCGUAUGUUGCGCCGAGUGUACGUACUAUAGAACUAUAUAAUUAAGGAUUUAGUUUUUUUAUAAAAGUGAAAGUUGUCAUUUGUACCAUACUCACGAGAGCGUAAAAUAUUGUUGUUCACAGAUUAUUUUCAAGGAAAAUAAAUAAAUAUUUGCAUGCCGUGCAUA